UACGUAGGGUGCAAGCGUUAUCCGGAAUUAUUGGGCGUAAAGAGCUCGUAGGCGGUUUGUCGCGUCGAAUGUGAAAACCCGGGGCUCAACCCCGGGCCUGCAUUCGAUACGGGCAGACUAGAGUUCGGUAGGGGAGUCUGGAAUUCCUGGUGUAGCGGUGAAAUGCGCAGAUAUCAGGAGGAACACCGGUGGCGAAGGCGGGUCUCUGGGCAAUUCCUGACGCUGAGGCGCGAAAGCGUGGGGAGCAAACGGG
rnacentral:rRNA from 1 species